UACGGGGGGGGGCAAGCGUUGUUCGGAAUUACUGGGCGUAAAGGGCUCGUAGGUGGCCAACUAAGUCAGACGUGAAAUCCCUCGGCUUAACCGGGGAACUGCGUCUGAUACUGGAUGGCUUGAGUUCGGGAGAGGGAUGCGGAAUUCCAGGUGUAGCGGUGAAAUGCGUAGAUAUCUGGAGGAACACCGGUGGCGAAGGCGGCAUCCUGGACCGACACUGACACUGAGGAGCGAAAGCCAGGGGAGCAAAGCGGG
rnacentral:rRNA from 1 species